rnacentral:rRNA from 1 species
GACGAACCCUUGCGGCGUGCUUAACACAUGCAAGUCGAACGGAAAGGCCCUGCUUUUGUGGGGUGCUCGAGUGGCGAACGGGUGAGUAACACGUGAGUAACCUGCCCUUGACUUUGGGAUAACUUCAGGAAACUGGGGCUAAUACCGGAUAGGAGCUCCUGCUGCAUGGUGGGGGUUGGAAAGUUUCGGCGGUUGGGGAUGGACUCGCGGCUUAUCAGCUUGUUGGUGGGGUAGUGGCUUACCAAGGCUUUGACGGGUAGCCGGCCUGAGAGGGUGACCGGUCGCAUUGGGACUGAGAUACGGCCCAGACUCCUACGGGAGGCAGCAGUGGGGAAUAUUGCACAAUGGGCGGAAGCCUGAUGCAGCAACGCCGCGUGCGGGAUGACGGCCUUCGGGUUGUAAACCGCUUUCCCCUGUGACGAAGCGUGAGUGACGGUAAUGGGUAAAGAAGCACCGGCUAACUACGUCCCCACGCAGCCGCGGUGAUACGUAGGGUGCGAGCGUUGUCCGGAUUUAUUGGGCGUAAAGGGGCUCGUAGGUGGUUGAUCGGCGUCCGAAGUGUAAUCUUGGGGCUUAACCCUGAGCGUGCUUUCGAUACGGGUUGACUUGAGGAAGGUAGGGGAGAAUGGAAUUCCUGGUGGAGCGGUGGAAUGCGCAGAUAUCAGGAGGAACACCAGUGGCGAAGGCGGUUCUCUGGGCCUUUCCUGACGCUGAGGAGCGAAAGCGUGGGGAGCGAACAGGCUUAGAUACCCUGGUAGUCCACGCUGUGAACGGUGGGUACUAGGUGUGGGGUCCAUUCCACGGGUUCCGUGCCGUAGCUAACGCUUUAAGUACCCCGCCUGGGGAGUACGGCCGCAAGGCUAAAACUCAAAGGAAUUGACGGGGCCCCGCACAAGCGGCGGAGCAUGCGGAUUAAUUCGAUGCAACGCGUAGAACCUUACCUGGGUUUGACAUGGAUCGGGAGUGCUCAGAGAUGGGUGUGCCUCUUUUGGGGUCGGUUCACAGGUGGUGCAUGCCUGUCGUCAGCUCGUGUCGUGAGAUGCUGGGUUAAGUCCCGCAACGAGCGCAACCCUUGUUCACUGUUGCCAGCACGUUAUGGUGGGGACUCAGUGGAGACCGCCGGGGUCAACUCGGAGGAAGGUGGGGAUGACGUCAAGUCCUCAUGCCCCUUAUGUCCAGGGCUUCACGCAUGCUACAAUGGCUGGUACAGAGAGUGGCGAGCCUGUGAGGGUGAGCGAAUCUCGGAAAGCCGGUCUCAGUUCGGAUUGGGGUCUGCAACUCGACCUCAUGAAGUCGGAGUCGCUAGUAAUCGCAGAUCAGCAACGCUGCGGUGAAUACGUUCCCGGG